CCCUUAGAUGUUCUGGGCCGCACGCGCGCUACACUGACGAUGGCAACGAGUUUUUCCUUCGCCGAAAGGUGUGGGUAAUCUUUUGAAACAUCGUCGUGCUGGGGAUAGAUCAUUGCAAUUUUUGAUCUUGAACGAGGAAUUCCUAGUAAGCGCGAGUCAUCAGCUCGCGUUGAUUACGUCCCUGCCCUUUGUACACACCGCCCGUCGCUACUACCGAUUGAAUGGUUUAGUGAGGACUCCUGAUUGUCGCCGCCGCCCCGGCAACGGAGCAGCGGACUGCCGAAAAGUUGUUCAAACUUGAUCAUUUAGAGGAAGUAAAAGUCGUAACA
rnacentral:rRNA from 1 species